rfam:Camelus ferus unplaced genomic scaffold scaffold692, whole genome shotgun sequence.
GAGGGUAUAGCUCAGUGGUAGAGCACGUGCUUAGCAUGCACAAGAUCCUAGGUUCCAUCCCCAGUACCUCCA